rnacentral:rRNA from 1 species
UGGGGAAUAUUGCACAAUGGGCGCAAGCCUGAUGCAGCCAUGCCGCGUGUAUGAAGAAGGCCUUCGGGUUGUAAAGUACUUUCAGCGAGGAGGAAGGCGUUGUGGUUAAUAACCGCAGCGAUUGACGUUACUCGCAGAAGAAGCACCGGCUAACUCCGUGCCAGCAGCCACGGUAAUACGGAGGGUGCAAGCGUUAAUCGGAAUUACUGGGCGUAAAGCGCACGCAGGCGGUCUGUCAAGUCGGAUGUGAAAUCCCCGGGCUCAACCUGGGAACUGCAUCCGAAACUGGCAGGCUAGAGUCUUGUAGAGGGGGGUAGAAUUCCAGGUGUAGCGGUGAAAUGCGUAGAGAUCUGGAGGAAUACCGGUGGCGAAGGCGGCCCCCUGGACAAAGACUGACGCUCAGGUGCGAAAGCGUGGGGAGCAAACA